rnacentral:rRNA from 1 species
GACGAACGCUGGCGGCGUGCCUAAUACAUGCAAGUAGAACGCUGAAGAGAGGAGCUUGCUCUUCUUGGAUGAGUUGCGAACGGGUGAGUAACGCGUAGGUAACCUGCCUUGUAGCGGGGGAUAACUAUUGGAAACGAUAGCUAAUACCGCAUAACAAUGGAUGACACAUGUCAUUUAUUUGAAAGGGGCAAUUGCUCCACUACAAGAUGGACCUGCGUUGUAUUAGCUAGUAGGUGAGGUAAUGCCUCACCUAGGCGACGAUACAUAGCCGACCUGAGAGGGUGAUCGGCCACACUGGGACUGAGACACGGCCCAGACUCCUACGGGAGGCAGCAGUAGGGAAUCUUCGGCAAUGGGGGCAACCCUGACCGAGCAACGCCGCGUGAGUGAAGAAGGUUUUCGGAUCGUAAAGCUCUGUUGUAAGUCAAGAACGGGUGUGAGAGUGGAAAGUUCACACUGUGACGGUAGCUUACCAGAAAGGGACGGCUAACUACGUG